rnacentral:rRNA from 1 species
GACGAACGCUGGCGGCGUGCUUAACACAUGCAAGUCGAACGGAAAGGCCCUGCUUUUGUGGGGUGCUCGAGUGGCGAACGGGUGAGUAACACGUGAGUAACCUGCCCUUGACUUUGGGAUAACUUCAGGAAACUGGGGCUCAUACCGGAUAGGAGCUCCUGCUGCAUGGUGGGGGUUGGAAAGUUUCGGCGGUUGGGGAUGGACUCGCGGCUUAUCAGCUUGUGGGUGGGGUAGUGGCUUACCAAGGCCUUGACGGGUAGCCGGCCUGAGAGGGUGGCCGGCCCCAUUGGGCCUGAGAUACGGCCCAGACUCCUACGGGAGGCAGCAGUGGGGAAUAUUGCACAAUGGGCGGAAGCCUGAUGCAGCAACGCCGCGUGCGGGAUGACGGCCUUCGGGUUGUAAACCGCUUGCGCCUGUGACGAAGCGUGAGUGACGGUAAUGGGUAAAGAAGCACCGGCUAACUACGUG